rnacentral:lncRNA from 1 species
AAUGAUCCUUUGGAUUUCAGGGCUGCUACUGUAAAUAACAUAUCUCUGCUUAAUUUCCACUCCAACUUGUACAAACAAUGAAGGAGGUGGAUAGAGAGAGAGAGAGAUUAGGAAGAAGUAUUGAAUAAUGUCAUUCCUUAGAUUGUAUGUUGGUGAUGGAUUUUGUUCAAAGUUUUUAUUAGAUUAAGGGCAUGAAAGUUUGUUCAAUUGGUCACCCACCAAGCAAAACCAAUAUCUAGAGUUGUUUUGUAUGUUAUGGUUUAAAAGUUUUUUAACCAGAAUACACUACAAAUUCUGUUC